UCGGGAAUUUUGGGCAAUGGGCGAAGGCCUGACCCAGCAACGCCGCGUGAGGGAUGAAGUAUUUCGGUAUGUAAACCUCGAAAGAAUGGGAAGAAUAAAUGACGGUACCAUUUAUAAGCACCGGCUAACUACGUGCCAGCAGCCGCGGUAAUACGUAGGGUGCGAGCGUUAAUCGGAAUUACUGGGCGUAAAGCGUGCGCAGGCGGUUUUGUAAGACAGAGGUGAAAUCCCCGGGCUCAACCUGGGAACUGCCUUUGUGACUGCAAGGCUGGAGGGCGGCAGAGGGGGAUGGAAUUCCGCGUGUAGCAGUGAAAUGCGUAGAUAUGCGGAGGAACACCGAUGGCGAAGGCAAUCCCCUGGGCCUGCACUGACGCUCAUGCACGAAAGCGUGGGGAGCAAACA
rnacentral:rRNA from 1 species